rnacentral:rRNA from 1 species
GAUGAACGCUGGCGGCGUGCCUAAUACAUGCAAGUCGAGCGAACAGACGAGGAGCUUGCUCCUUUGACGUUAGCGGCGGACGGGUGAGUAACACGUGGAUAACCUACCUAUAAGACUGGGAUAACUUCGGGAAACCGGAGCUAAUACCGGAUAACAUGUUGAACCGCAUGGUUCAACAGUGAAAGACGGUCUUGCUGUCACUUAUAGAUGGAUCCGCGCCGCAUUAGCUAGUUGGUAAGGUAACGGCUUACCAAGGCAAUGAUGCGUAGCCGACCUGAGAGGGUGAUCGGCCACACUGGAACUGAGACACGGUCCAGACUCCUGCGGGAGGCAGCAGUAGGGAAUCUUCCGCAAUGGGCGAAAGCCUGACGGAGCAACGCCGCGUGAGUGAAGAAGGUCUUCGGAUCGUAAAACUCUGUUAUUAGGGAAGAACAAAUGUGUAAGUAACUAUGCACGUCUUGACGGUACCUAAUCAGAAAGCCACGGCUAACUACGUGCCAGCAGCCGCGGUAAUACGUAGGUGGCAAGCGUUAUCCGGAAUUAUUGGGCGUAAAGCGCGCGUAGGCGGUUUUUUAAGUCUGAUGUGAAAGCCCACGGCUCAACCGUGGAGGGUCAUUGGAAACUGGAAAACUUGAGUGCAGAAGAGGAAAGUGGAAUUCCAUGUGUAGCGGUGAAAUGCGCAGAGAUAUGGAGGAACACCAGUGGCGAAGGCGACUUUCUGGUCUGUAACUGACGCUGAUGUGCGAAAGCGUGGGGAUCAAACAGGAUUAGAUACCCUGGUAGUCCACGCCGUAAACGAUGAGUGCUAAGUGUUAGGGGGUUUCCGCCCCUUAGUGCUGCAGCUAACGCAUUAAGCACUCCGCCUGGGGAGUACGACCGCAAGGUUGAAACUCAAAGGAAUUGACGGGGACCCGCACAAGCGGUGGAGCAUGUGGUUUAAUUCGAAGCAACGCGAAGAACCUUACCAAAUCUUGACAUCCUCUGACCCCUCUAGAGAUAGAGUUUUCCCCUUCGGGGGACAGAGUGACAGGUGGUGCAUGGUUGUCGUCAGCUCGUGUCGUGAGAUGUUGGGUUAAGUCCCGCAACGAGCGCAACCCUUAAGCUUAGUUGCCAUCAUUAAGUUGGGCACUCUAAGUUGACUGCCGGUGACAAACCGGAGGAAGGUGGGGAUGACGUCAAAUCAUCAUGCCCCUUAUGAUUUGGGCUACACACGUGCUACAAUGGACAAUACAAAGGGUAGCGAAACCGCGAGGUCAAGCAAAUCCCAUAAAGUUGUUCUCAGUUCGGAUUGUAGUCUGCAACUCGACUACAUGAAGCUGGAAUCGCUAGUAAUCGUAGAUCAGCAUGUUACGGUGAAUACGUUCCCGGGUCUUGUACACACCGCCCGUCACACCACGAGAGUUUGUAACACCCGAAGCCGGUGGAGUAACCUUUUGGAGCCAGCCGUCGAAGGUGGGACAAAUGAUUGGGGUGAAGUCGUAACAAGGUAGCCGUAUCGGAAGG